rnacentral:rRNA from 1 species
AUACGUAGGUGGCAAGCGUUGUCCGGAUUUAUUGGGCGUAAAGCGAGCGCAGGCGGUUUCUUAAGUCUGAUGUGAAAGCCCCCGGCUCAACCGGGGAGGGUCAUUGGAAACUGGGAGACUUGAGUGCAGAAGAGGAGAGUGGAAUUCCAUGUGUAGCGGUGAAAUGCGUAGAUAUAUGGAGGAACACCAGUGGCGAAGGCGACUCUCUGGUCUGUAACUGACGCUGAGGCUCGAAAGCGUGGGGAGCAAACAGGAUUAGAUCCCCUGGUAGUCCACGCCGUAAACGAUGAGUGCUAAGUGUUGGAGGGUUUCCGCCCUUCAGUGCUGCAGCUAACGCAUUAAGCACUCCGCCUGGGGAGUACGACCGCAAGGUUGAAACUCAAAGGAAUUGACGGGG